GCAUUCUUGUACCAGUGAAGCUUCUCCAAAUUUAUAAUGAGUAUCAAUACUGAAGUAGACUUUUGUCUCCUCUACUAGCAGUGGUUCGGGCAGUGUUGAGCUCCCAGUCAUAUAAAGGAGUAGAGGCUUCUGCUUUCUCCCCAUCACAGUUGCAUCCAUUCCUUUGCCUGUUACUACAUAUUUUGAGAUACUCUAAUGAAAUUCAAAUAAAUUUAGAGUGCUGCUGGGCAACUGUAUACGUUGUGUAAAAAUACAUUCCUCUGUCGUCUUCUGACCCAGGAGAUACAUCGCUAACAGAUUACGAAUCGAAGAUGAAGAUCCACACCUUGACUGAUGGCACAUACACAAGCUGACGGGUUGUGGCCAUGCGUGCUUCUGUAUGUGGAGGAACACGAGAAGAAACAGCAUAGCGACCGAAGGAGGAAACUGCAAGGUGCUCAGAGCUUUCAUUUGUCUCCUGGCUGGAUGUACACAUGCUCUUUAGUUUCCAAGAGAACUGCUAAAAUGCAGUGGAAACAAGAGAUCACACCCAAGGCAUACCAAGCUUUUAUCACCAAUUACUCCUUUUACCAGUAACAACCCACCAAGGUCCCAAAGCCUGGGUAACGUUUUAAUUCAAGGAACACCAGUACAAAAAGGGCGAUUCCAAUGUACUUGCAGUCACAGAGAUAACCAACAGUGCCAUCCAUGUGAAAGAAGACGUGUCAGGCAGGGGAUGAAGAGAAGGUAGAAGUCACAGAGUUACCUGCUACUUUCCUGGAGCAAGUUCUCACAGUGAAGUGAAACUACUGCUACAACUUCCAAAGCCGGACAGUUCUUCAGUGAUUCUUGAACACCCAAGUUUGAUUAUUGUCCUUCUGCUUCUGAAGCCCUUUGUUAACUUCAGCUAGGAGAAAGGAAUUUUUGAACAGUUCUAAAAUCAUGCAAAAUCAUAUGGAUAUAUGCAUGAAGGAAAGUUUUGGAAAAGAAGGCGUCCCAUGAGAAUGCCGGAUGUGCUCAGGAAAUAUCAAUGUGUGAUUAUAUCUUAAGUAUUUUCCAAAGCAUACAUCUUGUAUGCAUGCUUAAAGAUCAGUUAAAGAUCAGCUUCUCAUUUGUUUUCCAAAAAUAUUUUCUCCAUCAAUAUUCAAUCACGUCUGCUCUCAAAAAGUGAGAGGGGGAAAAAGGGCAUCUAAGAAUGCCAAUUAAUGUUAAUGGGUGCAUUAUUGC